rnacentral:ncRNA from 2 species
CUCUUAUUAAGAGCGAUGGAGGAAGAGACCCAAAGAAGUCGCAGCAACCCCCUAUUUUAGGAAGGUGCUUGUCUCAGGAAGUGGAACACUUUAUCAAUAAGAG